CAAAGUAUAGCUUAUUUAAAGCCUUUUGUUUACACUGAAAAAAAGUCCGUUAAACUCGGUCUACUUUGA
rnacentral:tRNA from 1 species